AGAAUCAACGCUGGCGGCGUGCCUAACACAUGCAAGUCGAACGAGAAAGUGGGAGCAAUCCCACGAGUAAAGUGGCGCACGGGUGAGUAACACGUGACUAACCUACCCUUGAGUGGGGGAUAACCUAGGGAAACCUGGGCUAAUACCGCAUAAUACCUACGGGUCAAAGGAGCAAUUCGCUUAAGGAGGGGGUCGCGGCAGAUUAGUUAGUUGGCGGGGUAAUGGCCCACCAAGACAGUGAUCUGUAU
rnacentral:rRNA from 1 species